rnacentral:lncRNA from 10 species
GUAGGUCUUUCAGUUAGGAUGAUAGAAAGCUUCCUUGGCAUGGAGAUUCACCGUGUACUUCUACAAAUAGAAGUUUAAAAGACAGAAAGCUGUAUAUUAUCGCUGCUGAGAGCUUUGCAGUCACGCCUCCCUGUGAUGAGACUGACUGCUGUGUUACUGUGGGUAAAUUGCUCAGCUUCUCUGAGGCAGUUUCUUUUUAUGUAAAAAUGGGACAGAAGCCAGCCUGGCUUCUAGAGUUGUUGGAGGAGUCAGCAUGUGGCUGAUAGAUGUAGAGCUCUUAGCCACUGCGGUAUUUAGGAAUUGGUUAAAAGAAUUCGAGGCAGCAUUCUUCCUGAAGGCCUUUUGUUAUUAGUUUGCUUCUCAAAGUCAUCUUCCGAAUCCUGCUGUGCUAAGCAUCACCCCAGCUCAGCCCAGUUAUGAAUUUCAUUGCUGAGCUCUGAGCCCAGGUUGUCUGGCAGCAUUUCUGAUUGUAAUCAGUUUUGUGCAGUGAGAUCACCUUGCUGACCACGAGCGGUGGCUCCCAGCACUGCAAAGAUAUGUGUGGGGCCGGCCUGCUUUUGUGACUGCAGCAUUCACCCUUCAGGGGACAGACAGCGGCUCUUGCUGUCUCAAUGCCACUGGAAGAACUCCAAAGGGUGCCUGGAGGACCAGCUUGGACUUUCAGUUCUGUUGCUUACGAGUGUGUGACCUUGGACAUGUUGUGCGUCUCUCUGCCUCUCGGUUCUGUGACCUGGGCAUAGUUAACACCUGCUUUUGAGGUCUUGUGAGGAAUAAAUGAGACAUUUUAUUGAA